rnacentral:rRNA from 1 species
AUCAUGGCUCAGAUUGAACGCUGGCGGCAUGCCUUACACAUGCAAGUCGAACGGCAGCACGGGAGCUUGCUCCUGGUGGCGAGUGGCGAACGGGUGAGUAAUACAUCGGAACGUACCCUGAAGUGGGGGAUAACGUAGCGAAAGUUACGCUAAUACCGCAUAUUCUGUGAGCAGGAAAGAGGGGGAUCGCAAGACCUCUUGCUUUAGGAGCGGCCGAUGUCGGAUUAGCUAGUUGGUGAGGUAAAGGCUCACCAAGGCGACGAUCCGUAGCGGGUCUGAGAGGAUGAUCCGCCACACUGGGACUGAGACACGGCCCAGACUCCUACGGGAGGCAGCAGUGGGGAAUUUUGGACAAUGGGCGCAAGCCUGAUCCAGCCAUGCCGCGUGAGUGAAGAAGGCCUUCGGGUUGUAAAGCUCCUUCGGUGGGGAAGAAAUUGCACAGGAUAAUACCUUGUGUAGAUGACGGUACCCGCAUAAGAAGCACCGGCUAACUACGUG